UACGGGGGGGGCAAGCGUUGUUCGGAAUUACUGGGCGUAAAGGGCUCGUAGGUGGCCAACUAAGUCAGACGUGAAAUCCCUCAGCUUAACUGGGGAACUGCGUCUGAUACUGGAUGGCUUGAGUUUGGGAGAGGGAUGCGGAAUUCCAGGUGUAGCGGUGAAAUGCGUAGAUAUCUGGAGGAGCACCGGUGGCGAAGGCGGCAUCCUGGACCAACACUGACACUGAGGAGCGAAAGCCAGGGGAGCAAACGGG
rnacentral:rRNA from 1 species